AGAGUUUGCUUUUGGCUCAGGAUGAACGCUAGCUACAGGCUUAACACAUGCAAGUCGAGGGGCAGCAUGAAAGGAACUUCGGUUCUUUUUGAUGGCGACCGGCGCACGGGUGCGUAACGCGUAUCGAACCUGCCUCAUACUCGGGGAUAGCCUUGCGAAAGUAAGAUUAAUACCCGGCGGUCUCGGAUGGCCGCAUGACUGUCCGAGUGAAGAUUUAUCGGUAUGAGAUGGCGAUGCGUCCCAUUAGCUUGUUGGUGAGGUAAUGGCUCACCAAGGCAUCGAUGGGUAGGGGUUCUGAGAGGAAGGUCCCCCACAUUGGAACUGAGACACGGUCCAAACUCCUACGGGAGGCAGCAGUGAGGAAUAUUGGUCAAUGGACGAAAGUCUGAACCAGCCAAGUAGCGUGCAGGACGACGGCCCUCUGGGUUGUAAACUGCUUUUAGUUGGGAAUAAAAAGAGGGACGUGUCCCUUAUUGUAUGUACCAUCAGAAAAAGGACCGGCUAAUUCCGUGCCAGCGGCCGCGGUAAUACGGAAGGUCCAGGCGUUAUCCGGAUUUAUUGGGUUUAAAGGGAGCGCAGGCGGCGGCGUAAGUCAGUUGUGAAAUCGUGCGGCUUAACCGUGCAAUUGCAGUUGAUACUGCGUCGCUUGAGUGCACACAGGGAUGUUGGAAUUCAUGGUGUAGCGGUGAAAUGCUUAGAUAUCAUGAAGAACUCCGAUCGCGAAGGCAUAUGUCCGGAGUGCAACUGACGCUGAGGCUCGAAAGUGUGGGUAUCAAACAGGAUUAGAUACCCUGGUAGUCCACACAGUAAACGAU
rnacentral:rRNA from 1 species